rnacentral:rRNA from 1 species
UACAGAGGGUGCAAGCGUUGUUCGGAAUUAUUGGGCGUAAAGCGCGUGUAGGCGGCAUGGCAAGUCGGGUGUGAAAGCCCUCAGCUCAACUGAGGAAGUGCGCCCGAAACUGCUUUGCUUGAGUGCUGGAGAGGGUCGCGGAAUUCCCCAAGUAGAGGUGAAAUUCGUAAGAUAUGGGGGAGGAACACCGGUGGCGAAGGCGGCGACCUGGACAGUAACUGACGUGAGACGCGAAAGCGUUGGGGUAGCAAAACAGG